rnacentral:rRNA from 1 species
UAAUUGAAGAGUUUGAUCAUGGCUCAGAUUGAACGCUGGCGGCAGGCUUAACACAUGCAAGUCGAGCGGUAGCACAGGGGAGCUUGCUCCCUGGGUGACGAGCGGCGGACGGGUGAGUAAUGUCUGGGAAACUGCCUGAUGGAGGGGGAUAACUACUGGAAACGGUAGCUAAUACCGCAUAACGUCGCAAGACCAAAGAGGGGGACCUUCGGGCCUCUUGCCAUCAGAUGUGCCCAGAUGGGA